rnacentral:lncRNA from 1 species
CUUGAUGAUGGAUGAUAGCCAAUAAAAGCUCUUUUUAUCUUAUUUAUAUAAUUUAAUUUUUUUUUGUAAUUUUUUUUAAAUAUUAUUUUUUUAAUAAACUAAUUUAACACAUUCUUUUCAACAAUAUCAUUUAUAUAACGUUAUUUUUAUUAUUUUCUUUAUUUGAUUUUUAAUUUUUAAAAUAAGGUUUUAUAUAAUGUAUCCAUUCUAUAAUACAUUUUUUCUUUGAUAAUGCUUUCAUUUGAU